AAGGUGCUUGCACCUUUCAAGUGAGUGGCGAACGGGUGAGUAACACGUGGACAACCUGCCUCAAGGCUGGGGAUAACAUUUGGAAACAGAUGCUAAUACCGAAUAAAACUUAGUAUCGCAUGAUACCAGGUUAAAAGGCGCUACGGCGUCACCUAGAGAUGGAUCCGCGGUGCAUUAGUUAGUUGGUGGGGUAAAGGCCUACCAAGACAAUGAUGCAUAGCCGAGUUGAGAGACUGAUCGGCCACAUUGGGACUGAGACACGGCCCAAACUCCUACGGGAGGCUGCAGUAGGGAAUCUUCCACAAUGGGCGAAAGCCUGAUGGAGCAACGCCGCGUGUGUGAUGAAGGCUUUCGGGUCGUAAAGCACUGUUGUAUGGGAAGAAAAGUUAAGGUAGGGAAUGACCUUAGCCUGACGGUACCAUACCAGAAAGGGACGGCUAAAUACGUGCCAGCAGCCGCGGUAAUACGUAUGUCCCGAGCGUUAUCCGGAUUUAUUGGGCGUAAAGCGAGCGCAGACGGUUGGUUAAGUCUGAUGUGAAAGCCCGGAGCUCAACUCCGGAAAGGCAUUGGAAACUGGUCAACUUGAGUGCAGUAGAGGUAAGUGGAACUCCAUGUGUAGCGGUGGAAUGCGUAGAUAUAUGGAAGAACACCAGCGGCGAAGGCGGCUUACUGGACUGUAACUGACGUUGA
rnacentral:rRNA from 1 species